UUGCUAUCUGUUUGCUGCCAGUAGAAGACUCCUCAGCUGUAUGAUUUGAGUAUAGGUUAGUUGUAUCAACAAUGUAUAUAAAGCUCCAUUUCUGAGGUUGGAAGAUGUAUACUGCGGGAGCAUUUUUUACAGAAUAUGUCUGCUGUUCACCGUGUGUCACUGAGUUGCAUUGAAAUGUGACCCCAGAGUUCUGAUGAGAAAAUACAGGGUUCCAUUUAUUCGUUUCGAGGUUUCUCCACAAAGUGGCAAUUUGUUCUGCUACCAGGGCUUCAACUUUUGUAAGGCGAUCGCAGUGAGCUAACAGUUCGGGUAGAGAGUGUGCAUGUAGGCUGUGUUUUUCCUGACAGAAAUUGUCGCACCGCCUGUUGUCGUGUACCAAAUUUUGCCAAUCUGCUGUGGUUUCCACCCCAUUUAGUCAGCUGGGGUGUUGUACAGAUUCUACAAUAUAACUGCGCCAUAAUGUCUAUGGUCACCUCUUUCGUCCAUCUGAUGAUCCCC